GAUGAACGCUGGCGGCGUGCUUAACACAUGCAAGUCGAACGGUGAAGGCGGAGCUUGCUCUGCUGGAUCAGUGGCGAACGGGUGAGUAACACGUGAGCAAUCUGCCCCUGACUCUGGGAUAAGCGCUGGAAACGGCGUCUAAUACUGGAUACGAGCUGCGAAGGCAUCUUCAGCAGCUGGAAAGAAUUUCGGUCAGGGAUGAGCUCGCGGCCUAUCAGCUUGUUGGUGAGGUAAUGGCUCACCAAGGCGUCGACGGGUAGCCGGCCUGAGAGGGUGACCGGCCACACUGGGACUGGGACACGGCCCAUACUCCUACGGGAGGCGUCAGUGGAGAAUAUUGCACAAUGGGCGAAAGCCUGAUGCAGCAACGCCGCGUGAGGGACGACGGCCUUCGGGUUGUAAACCUCUUUUAGCAGGGAAGAAGCGAAAGUGACGGUACCUGCAGAAAAAGCGCCGGCUAACUACGUG
rnacentral:rRNA from 1 species